AUUAGGUGGUCGGCGGAAUUGCUGAGUGUCAAAUUUACUUUGUUGAGUCUGUAAUUCUGUAGCCACUCCUGAGGUAUUUCAAUUCGUUGCAGAGUGAGCGCUUUUCUGGUUGUUACUUCUCUGACAUGAACAUGGUCAUUUUGGCGCCAACUGGAAGCGGCAAAACAGUGUUAUUUGAGCUAUGUAUCUUAAAGCUCCUUUCCUGGUUCCUUUCUCAGGAUGGAAGGUUCCUUCAUAUGAAGGGUACACUGAAAACAGUCUCGACGUUUUUUGUGCGCACUGACAAGAC